AUGGACUUUUCAAUAUUUAUUUUCUCUUGAAGAAGAAAAUUUUAUUUUUUUUUCCCCUUUUUGGGCAAAGCCUUGACCAAGAAAUUCAAUGGUACCCAUCAUUAUUGAUGAGUUUGGAAAAUCUUUCCUUAUUUUGCAUAAUAUUAAUAUGUAAAGAUGUAUGACUAAUCCCAUUUUGCGUGUACGGCUAUUUUCUAAAUGUUAUAAAUAUUUUAAUUUAAUUAAAAUAAUUAUAGUAAAUGAAAUAAUUAAAUUUUAAUUUUAUUUAAUUUGUACUAAAUAAAAAUUCCUAUAACAAAAUUCUAGAAAAUUUUGGUCAAAGCAUUUGCAAGAAUGAAAAAUAAAAAAUGCGAUUCUUGUCCUAUCCAAAGCUUAACAUGCCACGCGGCAGCUUUUUAGAGGUAAACUCCGGGUCCGAGUCAAUGAGCCGCCAACCGAGUCAAAAAAAUAUCGCGUCCACCACGCGAAAUUUCACACCAGCUCUGUAUUUUUCCCACACUUUCCUAGAAAAUUCAUUGGCACUUCAAACUUGCUCCUAAAAAAUCCAUAUAAAUACCCUCUAGUCUUCCGUUCAUAGUCAUCUUCUUGAUUCGCUCACAGGGUUUUUCUCUUUCUCUCUGUCUCUCUCUCUGAGUCUUGAUUUCGCUACUAGAUCUUCCUGGAAUAGAUAUCUGUUGGCUUUUGAAGAUGAGUCCCAUGAAUUUGUAUGCUCUCCCGAUCAUUGGGUUUAUGUUCUUGGCACUGAUGCAGCUUGGCUAUGGACAAGGCAUGGCUCCUUCUCCUGCACCACAAGGCCCAUCCAGCGAUGGCUAUACUAUUGAUCAAGGAAUUGCUUACAUCCUUCUACUAGUGGCUCUUGCAAUUACCUACCUCUUCCAUUGAUUCCUUUCAUUUCUUCCUUUAAUUUAUUUAUUAUUUUUCCUUUAUAAAUUCUUCUUGUAUUUUUCUCCUCACAUUUAUUUGGAGAAAUUGCAGCGAUUUUGUAUCUAUUUAUUCUAAUCUUACCUUUCAUUAUAAUUGAUUAAUUAUAUUAUAACAAUUUUUAUAUU